rnacentral:rRNA from 1 species
GCACCGGCUAAACUCCCGUGCCAGCAGCCGCGGUAAUACGGAGGGUGCGAGGCGUUAAUCGGAUUACUGGGCGUAAGCGCACGCAGGCGGUCUGUUAAGCUAGAUGUGAAAGCCCCGCGCUCAACGUGGGAGGGUCAUUUAGAACUGGCAGACUAGAGUCUUGGAGAGGGGAGUGGAAUUCCAGGUGUAGCGGUGAAAUGCGUAGAGAUCUGGAGGAACAUCAAUGGCGAAGGCAACUCCCUGGCCAAAGACUGACGCUCAUGUGCGAAAGUGUGGGUAGCGAACAGGAUUAGAUACCCUGGUAGUCCACACCGUAAACGCUGUCUACUAGCUGUUUGUGAAUUUAAUUCGUGAGUAGCGAAGCUAACGCGAUAAGUAGACCGCCUGGGGAGUACGGCCGCAAGGUUAAAACUCAAAUGAAUUGACGGGGGCCCGCACAAGCGGUGGAGCAUGUGGUUUAAUUCGAUGCAACGCGAAGAACCUUACCUACUCUUGACAUACUAGAAACUUUUCAGAGAUGAAUUGGUGCCUUCGGGAAUCUAGAUACAGGUGCUGCAUGGCUGUCGUCAGCUCGUGUCGUGAGAUGUUGGGUUAAGUCCCGCAACGAGCGCAACCCUUGUCCUUAGUUGCCAGCCUUAAGUUGGGCACUCUAAGGAGACUGCCGGUGACAAACCGGAGGAAGGUGGGGACGACGUCAAGUCAUCAUGGCCCUUACGAGUAGGGCUACACACGUGCUACAAUGGCGAGUACAAAGGGAUGCGAACCUGCGAAGGUAAGCGGACCCCUUAAAGCUCGUCGUAGUCCGGAUUGGAGUCUGCAACUCGACUCCAUGAAGUCGGAAUCGCUAGUAAUCGUAGGUCAGCAUACUACGGUGAAUACGUUCCCGGGCCUUGUACACACCGCCCGUCACACCAUGGGAGUGGGAUGCAAAAGAAGUAGGUAGCUUAACCUUCGGGAUGGC